GCAAGUCGAACGAGGUAGCAAUACCUAGUCGGCGGACGGGUGAGGAAUACGUCCUUUUCUGCCUUUAAGUGGGGGAUAACCCGGGGAAACCCGGAUUAAUACCGCAUGAUCUCGCAAGAGCAAAGAGGGGGACCGCAAGGCCUCUCGCUUUUAGAGGAACCUACGUCGGAUUAGCUAGUUGGUGAGGUAAUGGCUCACCAAGGCGACGAUCCGUAACUGGUCUGAGAGGAUGAUCAGUCACACCGGAACUGAGACACGGUCCGGACUCCUACGGGAGGCAGCAGUGGGGAAUAUUGGACAAUGGGCGAAAGCCUGAUCCAGCAAUACCGCGUGUGUGAAGAAGGCCUUCGGGUUGUAAAGCACUUUAAGUUGGGAAGAAAAAGCUUCACCUAAUACGUGAAGCCUUGACGGUACCGACAGAAUAAGCACCGGCUAACUCUGUGCCAGCAGCCGCGGUAAUACAGAGGGUGCUAGCGUUAAUCGGAUUUACUGGGCGUAAAGCGUGCGUAGGCGGUUUGAUAAGUCGAUUGUGAAAGCCCCGGGCUUAACCUGGGAAUUGCGGUCGAUACUGUCAGACUCGAAAACGGUAGAGGGAGGCGGAACUCCAGGUGUAGCGGUGAAAUGCGUAGAUAUCUGGAAGAACACCGAUGGCGAAGGCAACCUCCUGGGCCUGUUUUGACGCUGAGGCACGAAAGCGUGGGUAGCAAACAGGAUUAGAUACCCUGGUAGUCCACGCCGUAAACGAUGAGAACUUGACGUUGGUUUGCUUAGCAAAUCGGUGUCGUAGCUAACGCGAUAAGUUCUCCGCCUGGGGAGUACGGCCGCAAGGUUGAAACUCAAAGGAAUUGACGGGGGCCCGCACAAGCGGUGGAGUAUGUGGUUUAAUUCGAUGC
rnacentral:rRNA from 1 species